rnacentral:lncRNA from 1 species
UGGGAAAGGUCCUAUGGCAGACUCAUGUUGAGGUGGCGCUGAUGAGAUGGGUGAACGAUGGUGACUCCGCUUUUCAUAUGGAGCACUAAUAAGUAACUUGUAGUUCCGAGCUAAAGAGUAAGCGUGAUCAAGAGUAGUGACACCUCGAAAGAAAAGCUCACGCCUAAGUUCAUCUCUUAGACCUUGUAUAAACCUACUCAAAGUCAGGGCCUCAUCCCUAACGACAUGACAUUUCACUCGAAAUUCCUCAAAUUGAGUAAUGUACUCAGUUAUUAGCCGAUUUCCUUGUGUAAGGGUGUUCCAUUGGGUAAAAAUUUCAUGAUCUAAGCAACCAUCGAAAGUAGGAAUAUCUAAGUCAAUGUCUCUAACGAAACGCUCCUUACAACGAGGAAGAGAAUGAGUACCAUGAUGACCAUGGCCUUGUUCUUACUCACGAACCUGAUCCCUAUUCCUACGAUCGCGUCGAAAAUAUUCUUGAUCACUUUGUCCACGAUGAUAUUGUCUAUUAUGAGACGCUUCAGAAUUAGUGUCAGUCAAAUGAGGGGUUCGCUUAAAAUUGCUCAACUUAGUAGCUAGGUUCUUUCUCUCCUCACGAGUAGCAGUUAUAUCUGAUUGGACAGUUGAUAGGCUAGUGGCAAGUUGCGCUAAUUGUCUAGUGAGUGCAUCAAAU